AAUUUUGUACUAAUUCACAAAAUUUUUUGGCCACAAAAAUUAUUAAGAAUCAAUCAUAAUACAUAUCUAUAGAUAGCUCAAGUAAUGAUGAAACCAAGACAACACAAUUUGACACAUCUUCUAAUGCAGCAGUUUCUAGUAUUUCGUCUUCACAACCUUUAUCACCUCAAGCAAAAAAGUUAUAAUACAAGAAGCUCACUCAUUCAAUGAAAAACAUUUUGUAGGAUCUGCUUGCACUUUUAUGUACUUCUACUUGUAUGUUGAAGAAAUUAUCUCCUGGCUGAAAUGA